CUCAUCCUUUUUUGGUGUUCCUAAGACAGUGUGCAGGAUUCAUAAGAGAUUUGUGAAAACAUCAAAAGCAAAUUCAUUCAACAAGAGCCUACCAUCUGAAUAUCCAUCGGGACGACACGGAAAUCGAAGAAAAUAGAUUUAGAUAUACUUCAUUUCUACAAAACAAGAAUGUGAGCAUGUUUCAACCCCAUUCACUGAAAACCCAAGAAAAGCGACAGAAACAGCCCCAAUUUACAAGGGACAACAAAAAAUAAGAAUACCUACAAAGCAUGCCCAUCUGAAGAAACCAAAUAACAAGCAUUUACAUGGUCCAAAAUUCUCCUACAAACAAAAUCUCAAAAUCCCAGAUGAAAAAAUAUCGUACGGAAAAGAACAAAAGAAUGAUUGCACAAAAUAGGUAAGAAUCCUCUCCCCUUGUGCAGCAAGGAUUGAGACAAAAUGGUAAUGCAAUUUUGGGUCAAAAAAUAGGUAAGAAAGAGGGAUAUGUGCAGAUUUUGGAAGAGAAAGGGAAAGGGAAUUGCGGCAAGGAAGGAUCCUUGCAGAUUUGGUGUGGCAUGGACUUUAGGGAAGGUUUAGGGCUUCUAGAAUAUGUAAUUAAAUGUCCUAACAUAUUUUUGGAAUCCUUUUGUGGCUGGAACAUAGGUGAGGAAGGAUUAGGAAACUUCCAAGCCAAGAAUAGAAACUGCUCCUAGCCUUCUUUGAUCUUCAAUUUCAUCCAUCCAUCUUGCUCCAAGCAUAAGCUAUCAAUUCCAUGCCCAAAACUGCUCCAAAAGGCUCCAAAAUGCAUUUCUUUGCCACUUUAACCCUUGGACCUACAAACACACGAAAAUGGCUUGAAAUACUAAAUUAACUAAGAAAUAACAACAUAAUUGCAUAAGAACAAGCUAACUAAGUCGCCUAAAUAUGCUCCUAUCAAAUUCCCCCACACUUAGCUUUUGCUAGUCCUCGAGCAAAACAAAAGAAACAAAACACAAUCUAGACAUUCCAACAAUUGUCUUAGGGAUUUCCAAUGAAAUAUGACAUGCCAAAGAUCACCACUCACAUAGAUUUAAGCAAUCCUUACACUCGAGCAUACUUAAUCAUAGUCACCAUUCACUAGCUCACAUUUAAUCAAUUAAAACAUCAUUUUGAAUGUAGUAACAUGCCUUAGAGAAUUCCCUCAAUUCCUUACUAGAUAUGCACUCCAUUUUCACUCAGAUUUUCUGACUACACUCCCUACACUAGAUAUAUGUGAGAAGAUUGAUGUAAACAUGAAAACUAGUACUCACAUAUGUUUUAGCAAAGAAAGCACUUUUCUAGAAUUAUUAACGUAUGUAUAUAUAUGAUCUUAUGAAUGGAAUGCCAUUACUUAGAAGCGAGAACCAGUGAUCUCAUAUGCUCAUACCAAUUCCAAACUCCACAUAUUGAAACACACAACACUCAAGAUGGAAGUCAAGGGUUGUAACGGGGCUAAGGGUAUUGGCUCACAAAGAAAGGUAAGGAUAAACAAAGGUUCUUAAAGAAAUAGUAAGUAAAGUAAUGAAAUUGACACUUAGAAUUCACUUUUGAAUGCAAAAAUCAACUUUUAAACACAAGGGAAGAUUCAUGCAAUACUUAGGAUCAAAUUCAAACUUUUAGACCCUUUCUUCAACAACCAACACAUUAGAACUCUUUUUCACAUAAUUUUCAACUCUUUUUUUCAUUCUCUUCACAACUUUUCUUUUUUUUUUCUUUCUAUUUUCCACUAAUUUUUCUCUCUCUUUUUUUUUUUUUUUUUUUUUUUUUUAUGCCGUGCCCUUUUCUUUCUUUUGGCACACUAAAAAAAAUCCCUUCCCCCACACUUGUUUUUCUGCAGGAAUUCAUUCUAAAUUAUGAUUUACUAUGUUUCAAGAACAAGGGUAUGGAUGAUCCUAAUCUAGGCUAGGUAAGGAUAGUGUGGGUUAACAAAAACAUAGGCUAAACAAGGCUCAAAGGGGGUUUAAUCCUACAAAACAUAAUGAAAUAGGGGGUACGGCUAUUUGGCUUUGCUGGUAACUAAACAACUUCAUCUUGAAUAUGUGUUAUGCACUCAAUAUCAUGUUUUGAAUGGAACGGGCAUAAGUUCUAGUAUUUGGAUCUAUAAUGAUAAAACGCAUUCUAAGUAGCAACCAAGCAAAGAAUGAUGAGAUCAUGCAACGACUUUAGAAAACAAGAAAUCACAGAUUAAUAACUCUCCAAAUAACGUUUAGGCUCAAGUCUCAUAGGGUUGUAGCGUUAGUUUGAGUUCCUUUCUUCAAGCAUGUUACAAAAACUAAUUUUUUUCUUUUGUGAUUGCAUGUGAAUUCGUAAACUAUAACUACAACCAAGCAUAAACCAAAAGCAUAUCAAACUUCCAUCCAUGUUUAUAACUUUCUUUAACAGUCAUGCAAUUAAAAACCAAAUCCUCAUCAUUGUGUUGGAAGGUACCCUAAGACACAAACAAACACACAAAAACAAAUCUUUUUGACUUUUUCAAAACAAUUUGUCGAAUUUUUAUCAAAUUUUCGAAUUUUUACUUCAACACACACCAAAACAGCUUAAAAUGCACUAAAAACCCACGAAUUUACAUCAAAAAUACUUUGUUAUCCCCCCACACUUAAAUCAAACAUUAUCCUCAAUGUUUUAAGCAUAAACUCACAGAAAGCAAACAAACAAACAGACAACUAAGCAUGGUAAAAUAAAAUCAGCAAAGAUAAGGGUUUAGGAACGCAAAUCUGAGUGUGGAGUGCAAAUUCCAUCUUCUCCUUUUCAAAUGCAUGGGUUGCCUCCCAAGAAGCGCUUGCUUUAACGUCUUGCAGCCGGACAAGACCUCCAAUUAAGCUCCAUUGGUGGCCAGGGCAUGGAAUUGAUCUUCGAAUGGAUGGUGAUACUUUAAAUGAUCCGGCAAUGGUUUAAAUUCUAACGUGGGUGCCUGAAUCAUCAAAAUCAACAUGUUAGUAAAAAACGUAUUUGAAAUUGGAGAAAAUAUCUUACCUUUUUGCUCCGAUAAGAACUCAAGGACGAAAACCACUUCUUUGAAAGUUUCAAGGAUUUUGAAUUUGGCCAGAUUUACUACAAUGGUUGUGAUUUGUCCCAUGUCAUCAAACUCAACUUCUUUGGGCUUUGUUGUUUCAAAUACGUCCUCUUUGAAUUCUUGGUAUUCCCCAGCCACUUCCUUCUCUUGAAUCCCUCUUCUUGGUGUACAAUUCUCUUCAGGGAAUUCAACAUAAUCUGGAACUUGUUUUGGUGUACCAAGAAUUGGGAUAUCACUUUGCACCUUGGGAAGGGCUUCCACGAUGUCUUUUUCACUCUCUUCUUCCUUGGGAAUCAAAAACCUGCGAGGAAAAUGGACAUUUGGUGGAAUGGGGUAAGAAAGAAUUGAAUUUGGAACCACCUUACUUGAAUUGGACGGCAUAGGGACUCUAGGAGGCUGCGGCAAGGGUUGUUCUACCCUUGUCGUGGGUGUGUCUUCUUCCUCCUCCUCAAUUAGCAGCUGUUCGUCCUCCUCUUGGAUUUGUUUGGACAUUUUUAGGUCAGCUCCAUCCUCCAUAGCACUUCCCAAAGUGAUAGCAUCAUGGAUUUCAAAAUCGUUCUUCGAAUUUUCAAUAGUUGAGUUGGAGAGUUCACUUUGCUCUUGAAUUUGCGCCAUGAACUCCAUAAUCUGCCCAAUUUGCUUCUCCAAUUCGUCUGUCUUCUUGGCUUGAUUUUGCAUCUCUUUGUUUCGAUUUUCUACUUCCUGGUUCAAAGAGGUGGGUAACUUACUAAACAUAUCAUUAUCCAAAGACGUACCUAAAUUUGUUUGGGAAAAUUGUAAGGGAGGUUAUGGUGGCUGCAUAGGCGUGGUGUAGAACUCCUCAUAUGGCUGCCAAUAUGCAUCUUGUUGAGCCUCCUUGGCUUGAUUUUGUGAGCUCUGCACCAAAGAAUUUAAUUCAUUAAGAAUUUGAUUAUAAUCUAUUGACGAACCGGAGUUUGAUUGAGCAUAUUGCAUAGGUCUUGAAUAGAACUCCUCAUAUGGCUGCCAAUAUCCUUCGUGUUGAGCUCGUUGAGAUUCCCACCACAUAGAAGUUGAAUGAUCACUCCAAUCUCUUUGUGGACAUUGAUUGGCUUGAUAUCCUUGCCUAUAAGACGCACCAAAUGUAGGGACACUUUGCAUUAUAGUCCUUUCGGCGUACUACGACAAUUUAGAAGUAAGAUUUGCCAAUUGAGCUUGAAUGCUAGAAAAAUCCAUGUCCUACUUCUCUAGUACCUUAAAUCAAAGAAAGAGAACUAAAUCAAAUAUCAAAAGUAAAAUAAACAAAACAAAACCAAACAAGAAACUAGAAGACACGAAAAGAAACAAAGUCAGUAACUAAAACAAAAGACACGAAAAAGAAACAAAAACAAACAACGGGGGAUUAGCAAAGUUGCUAAUCACUGGCAACGGCGCCAAAAUUUGAUGCGAAAAUUAACUUAACACACAAAUUAAACCCUCUUGUUGACAAUUGUAGUAUGGAUAAGUAAGGAUCGUUCUGGACCGGGGAUUAGGAGGGAUUGCUAAUCUACUCUAAAUUGACUUAGAAACACAAAAAUAAACUUAAAAACACUUAACAAGACUCACAAGACUCAAAACAAACUUAAAAGACUCAAAACUGCCUAAAAACAACACUAAGGCAGUUUAUGUUACUAACACAAGUUUUGGACGAAAAUUGAUUAUAUCUUGACUCAAAACACUUAAAAACACAAUCUAAAACAAGUUCUAACUAAUAUGACUCAAUAUAGUAAAGGGGAUUUUGGUUUUGGCCGAAAAUAAGGAAAACAAAGCAAGACUUAAAACUAAACAGAUUUGCACGAAAUUUGUUGAAUUAGAUGGAUGAUGGGCUAGCUAGAAGGUUCUUCUCCACACAUGACACACUUGCAUUCAAAUUGAUUUCCAAUUGCUUCUCUCAAUAAGUCAUGAAACUCAAUACUCCAAGUUAACUGUGACAACACUUUUUUAACCUUCAAGUUCUCCUUAAGUUAAUGAAUUGGAUGGGAAAGCACAUACAACAACUCAAAGCAUUCUCUAAAAGUCCCCUACGUGAAAAGCACAAUAAAGGUACAAUCAAAGAUCAUUAAGUUUCAUGAAAACUAUAAGCAUUGACAAGGCAAUUGUAACUAUGAAAAGCAUGAAACUUUUGCCAAGAAUUCACUUAACACGAUCGUUUAUAAUGACCUCCACUACUUGCAAAUAUAAGUUUGUAACUAUUAGGUGAAACUCCCUUAUAUUUUAGCUUCAAAUCCUUGCAUGAAAACUCCACUACUUGCAAAUAUAAGUUUGUAACUAUUAGGUGAAACUCCCUUAUAUUUUAGCUUCAAAUCCUUGCAUGAAAACUAAGUGUGCACUCUUAAUAAACAUACAAGAAUAAGUUAUCAAUCAAACGGUUAAGCAAAUUGCAUUCACAACUUAUGAAAUAACAACUGAAGGUAAUCAAUUCAUAAUGCAAGUAUAAUCAUGGUUUUGAAUAGCUCCCUAGCCAAGAAGGGCUUAGUUCCUCAUAAACGCAAAACAAAGAUACAUAAAUUUAGACAUUGAAAACAAAGAAUGAAAACACCUAGAAACGCUCCAACAAUCCAAUGUCUUGAAUGGCAAGCACAUCCAAGGGUCUCCUUCCUUCUUCUUUGUUGUGGCACAAGGAAUGGUUGAAGGUUUUUGUGGUGAUUUGUGGUGGUGGAUGGAUAUAGGUUGGUUAUGGUGAAAGGUGAAGUGGCUUAGAAUGGUCAUAAAGGGGUCUUAUUUAUAUGGGAAGCAAGGGCUAUGAAUUUAUUAAAUUUGAAAUCAGAAAUCAUUCAAAAAUAGGCAAGUAAGGUGCAUGAAUUAAAGAGAAUAUGAAAGGAAAUUUGGAAGAGUGUAGGACAGAUUUAGGAAUGUGUUUUGAGGCACAAAAUAGGUAAGAAUCCUCUCCCCUUGUGCAGCAAGGAUUGAGACAAAAGGGUAAUGCAAUUUUGGGUCAGAAAAUAGGUAAGAAAGAGGGAUAUGUGCAGAUUUUGGAAGAGAAAGGGAAAGGGAAUUGCGGCAAGGAAGGAUCCUUGCAGAUUUGGUAUGGCAUGGACUUUAGGGAAGGUUUAGGGCUUCUAGAAUAUGUAAUUAAAUGUCCUAACAUAUUUUUGGAAUCCUUUUGUGGCUGGAACAUAGGUGAGAAAGGAUUAGGAAACUUCCAAGCCAAGAAUAGAAACUUUCAAGAAUGGAAACCUCCAAGAAUAGAAACUUCCAACUUUAGGCACUUUGGCUUCCAAUUCUGAACUCUUUGUUCUUCAUUUUCAUUUCUUCAUUUCUUUCAUCUCAUUAUUCAUUCCUAGCCUUCUUUGAUCUUCAAUUUCGUCCAUCCACCUUGCUCCAAGCAUAAGCUAUCCAUUCCAUGCCCAAAAGGCUCCAAAAUGCACUUCUUUGCCACUUUAACCCUUUGGACCUACAAACACACGAAAAUGGCUUGAAAUACUAAAUUAACUAAGAAAUAACAACAUAAUUGCAUAAAAACAAGCUAACUAAGUCGCCUAAAUAUGCUCCUAUCAGAGCAUAAGACAGCAUAGUAAAUAGGAUGAGGGUUAUACCACUGAAGAUAACCAUCUCCUGAGAUUUGCCAGAAUCCUCGUUUACACAUAAGCACAGCUACUAAACAUGGAGGGGCGAAAAAUAAAGUUGAGUGGGUCAGAAAAUAACGUUUUGUAAAAACCUUUUCAAAAACAUUAUAACCCCUUGCCGUAAAAUUAAGUAUAGUUUCCAAAAAUAUAAGUACUACAUAUAGUAAGAAAAUAUUUACAGUAGCCUACAAAGUCUCAAGAAAUCAAUAAGAUAUAGCUAUAGCAAAUAAGCACAAGGUGACCAAUAUCACAUAAUCUCGUAAUAUGAAAACAUAACAUAACAAAUGCUCAUCGACACAUGCUGACACACGAGUCGGAGUUGCCUAAUGCAACAUGUAUGACAGGAUUGGGUGUAAUAAAUGCGCUCUAAUACUAUAAUCACAUGAAGACUGACGCCGAUGCGUGGUCACAUACGAGUCGGAAUUGCCUAAUGCAAUAUGUACGACAGGACUGGCACCUAACUUGGAUCCAAGGCGAGCAAAUGGUGCG
rnacentral:lncRNA from 1 species